rnacentral:tRNA from 1 species
ACCUGGGUGGCUCAGUCGGUUGAGCGUCCGACCUCGGCUCAGGUCACGAUCUUGUGGUCUGUGGGUUCGAGUCCCGCUUUAGGCU